rnacentral:rRNA from 1 species
UACGGGGGGGGGCAAGCGUUGUUCGGAAUUACUGGGCGUAAAGGGCUCGUAGGCGGCCAACUAAGUCAUACGUGAAAUCCCUCGGCUUAACCGGGGAACUGCGUCUGAUACUGGAUGGCUUGAGAUUGGGAGAGGGAUGCGGAAUUCCAGGUGUAGCGGUGAAAUGCGUAGAUAUCUGGAGGAACACCGGUGGCGAAGGCGGCAUCCUGGACCAACACUGACGCUGAGGAGCGAAGGCUAGGGGAGCGACCCGG